GACGAACGCUGGCGGCGUGCUUAACACAUGCAAGUCGAACGGAAAGGCCCUGCUCUUGUGGGGUGCUCGAUUGCCGAACGGGUGAGUAACACGCGAGUAACCUGCCCUUGUCUUUCGGGUAAAAUCAGGAAACUGGGGCUAAUAUCGGAUAGGAGCUCCUGCUGCACGGGGGGGGAUGGAAAGUUUCGGCGUUUGGGGAUGUACUCGCGGCUUAUCAGCUUGAUGGUGGGGUAGUGGCUGACCAGGGCUUUGACGGGUAGCCGGCCUGGGAGGGUGACCGGCCACAUUGGGCCUGAGGUGCGGCCCAGACGCAUACGGGCGGCAGCGGUGGGGACUAGUGCAAGAUGGGCGGAGGCCUGGUGGAGGAACUCCGCGUGCGGGAUGACGGCUUUCGGGUUGUAAACCGCUUUCGCGUGUGACGAAGCGUGAGUGAGGGUAAUGGGUAAAGAAGCACCGGCUACUUACGU
rnacentral:rRNA from 1 species